CCCGCAGCGCCGCCGUGACACCUCCAACUCUGAGUCUGACAGCGGCGAGGAUGUAGAGGUGCGUGAGGUGCCGGGGCGCGCGCUCCCUGCAGAGGGCGCCUACGAUCCCAAGCACUUUCAGGACCUAAAAGUGCCUCCAGACAUGGAGAACUUGUUCCAGUACAUAAUGAAGUACACUCCGCAGAAGAUCGAGCUGGAAGGGCGGCUGCGCGCCUUCGUGCCGGAGU